GUUGCUUGGUGUUCUAGGUCGCCAUGUUGGGCGGAGCGCUUCUGCUCACGCCCGGCCGUCGCCAUCUUGAGCUGGGGUGUCGUCACAGCCAUUUCUCAUCAGGACCUCUGUUCUGAAGUGCUUGGUGCCAGACCUCUGCCACAUCCCCAGGCUAAAACUUGCUUGUGCUUUGAAGAGAAGUGGUCUUUUUAAGGUCAAUAGCCUUGGGCCAGAAAUGAAUUCUCAAGCAGAGGCCUCAGCAGGUGAUGAGAAAGGCAUGAGAACAGGCUGGAAGGAGAAUGAGGCACCGAGAGGCCCAAGCUGAAAGAAAUAAAGACUUCCAGUACAUCACCCUGACAGUAAAGAGCGAAGGAAAAGUGACGUCUGAGAACUGCAAUGUGCUCUGCUUGAAGAAAAGGAAGUUGGGUUGUGAUAAUAUAAUUCUGGAUUCCAUGGAAUGUUGUGGCUCAUGGAAGAGGCAAGAGAUAAAAGACAGAGAAACAAUAUAGUGGUAAGUUUCAGGGGUUUUAUUUUAUAUUAAAACAUCAUUUUGUGACAAAUAUGGACAGAAUGUGCAUAAGAGUAUUAUAUUUCUGCGCAUCAAAAUGGAAACAUGCUUACUAGGCUGUACUUUGUAUUAUCUGAAAAAUACCAAGUGCUCUUCAUUGUAGCCUUUGUCCUAAAAGGCUUGCAAAAAAUAAUUCCAGAAAAGGUGCGCUGGCAAUCAACAGCUGGUUAGCUAGAGGGAAAUAAAUAGCCCUCCUGAUGAAAAUACCUGAGAAGC
rnacentral:lncRNA from 1 species